GACAGAGGCCUCGAGCGUUAGGCGGAAUCACUGGGCUUAAAGCGUGUGUAGGCGGAUCGUUAAGUACCUUGUGAAAUCCCACGGCUCAACCGUGGAACUGCUGGGUAUACUGGCGAUCUUGAGCCACCUAGGGGCGAGCGGAACAAACGGUGGAGCGGUGAAAUGCGUAGAUAUCAAGAGGAACACCAGUGGCGAAGGCGAGUCCCUGGACAACACCUGACACUGAGGCACGAAAGCCGGGGGAGCAAACAGG
rnacentral:rRNA from 1 species